AACAAACUGAUGCUCUUGUUAAUGUUACAAAUCAGCAUGAUGGAAAGCUCCUUGGUCCAAUGGCUGCUUCCAGCUGGUUGUGCAUUUAUCCACGAGGGUUUCGAGAACUAUUGCUUUUCAUAAAGAAACAGUACAACAA